CAAUGCUCCUACCUCAGCCUCCCAAGUGGCUGGGACUACAGCUUCUUGAGGUUGAAGACUGUGUUUUGUCCUUGAAUGGCCAGCUCUGAACAAUGCCCGACACAUCGCUGAUACUCAUUGUCUGUUGAGUAAAUGGAAGAUGAUUUGCAGUUGGUGCUGUGUUUUGUGUUACUGGGGGAAUCUUGUCCUGAGGGAUCUGAGUGUGAAUAUGCAGCUUCUCUAUCUGGGGCUUUGGAGUCUCUUUCUGUUGCCCAAGCUGGAAUGGCGUGAUCACG